rnacentral:rRNA from 1 species
AGGGAUCAUUACUGAGUUUACGCUCUACAACCCUUUGUGAACAUACCUAUAACUGUUGCUUCGGCGGGUAGGGUCUCCGUGACCCUCCCGGCCUCCCGCCCCCGGGCGGGUCGGCGCCCGCCGGAGGAUAACCAAACUCUGAUUCAACGACGUUUCUUCUGAGUGGUACAAGCAAAUAAUCAAAACUUUUAACAACGGAUCUCUUGGUUCUGGCAUCGAUGAAGAACGCAGCGAAAUGCGAUAAGUAAUGUGAAUUGCAGAAUUCAGUGAAUCAUCGAAUCUUUGAACGCACAUUGCGCCCGCCAGCAUUCUGGCGGGCAUGCCUGUUCGAGCGUCAUUUCAACCCUCAAGCUCUGCUUGGUGUUGGGGCCCUACAGCUGAUGUAGGCCCUCAAAGGUAGUGGCGGACCCUCCCGGAGCCUCCUUUGCGUAGUAACUUUACGUCUCGCACUGGGAUCCGGAGGGACUCUUGCCGUAAAACCCCCAAUUUUCCAAAGGUUGACCUCGGAUCAGGUAGGAAUACCCGCUGAACUUAA